GUGGUUGGUAGACAAGCUCACCUUGUCGGUUGUGUCUUCUGGAUCCAACCCAAGAUCACGAUUUGCAAGACUGAGACAUGGUCUGCACAGAAUGAAGAAAACACAGAGUAAAAAAACAGCAUGUGUGUAGUAAAGCCUAGAAAGAGCAUAAUACUUGCUCACCUCACCAUCUGCAAUGUGUGAAACUGCGCCUUCAGCUCUGUAUAUGGUGCUGUCACUGUCUGGGCCUGAUGAGAUCCGUGCGCCCCCCCCCAAGACAAUGGCAGGGGAAACACUGAACGUGCAGAGACUAAAGAAGAAAUUGAGUAGGAGCAGUCAAAAUGAAAAAGUGUCCGUGUCAGAAAACUGAAGGAGGCCACUUCCCCACCGGCACUUUCGGAGAAGAAGAAUAAAAGGUGUAAAAUAAAUAAAGUUGUAAAAUCUACCAUGAAGUUGUGGAUGCUGGAGGCUAAGGUUCAAUCAUGUCCGUCGACUUCCAUAUAGUUUAGAUCUCGGACGCCAAUCAAGCAGAAGUUGUGGGAGAGACUGGAUCAUCCCGUGUUCAGCGGCAGACUGCUGUCCCUGUCCUGCUCCACAGACAGGCUCAAGAACUCUUUUGUCCCCCUGGCCAUAAGACUGUACAACACCUCUUGGUGAUGGCAGGGGGAUUCCAACAUUCCAAACAUUUCAUACACUUCAAACCAUUAAACAAAAACAGUGGUCAAUGUUGCAGUGGAUGUGGAAUAAC